GCUUUCUGACAACUGUUUUCAGCUAAUCACUUAGUAGAGUGGGAUGCAUCGGUUGAUUUGCAGAUUUAAAUGCUAUUGUUGGCCUUAAUCCUCACUUACAUGGGCUAGGCCUUUCUUGAGCCAUCAACAAGGGAUAAAGAAAUUAAGGCACUUUUAACUUGAGAAUAUCUGGGGAUUCUGGGCUUGGUAUAAUUGCUUUGAUUGUUA
rnacentral:misc_RNA from 1 species